AACAUAAUGUCAAAUUAAAAUACCGCUUCACUUCAAAUCCUCAUCUAUCCAAGUUAAACCUUUAUAAUAUAUAUACCAUUUUAAUUCCUAGACAAAGCUUAGAUUCUCAUUAACAUUUGGGAUCUUACAUAGAAUAUAUUCCUUACAGUGUUGUCAAGAGGCGCCCGGGCGAGGUGAAAUCCAAGCAUCUCGCCUGGGAAGCCUCUAGGCGA
rnacentral:misc_RNA from 1 species